rnacentral:rRNA from 1 species
UACGUAGGGGGCUAGCGUUGUCCGGAAUCAUUGGGCGUAAAGAGCGUGUAGGCGGCCAGGUAGGUCUGCUGUGAAAACUCGAGGCUCAACCUCGAGACGUCGGCGGAAACCACCUGGCUAGAGUCCGGAAGAGGAGAGUGGAAUUCCUGGUGUAGCGGUGAAAUGCGCAGAUAUCAGGAAGAACACCAGUGGCGAAGGCGGCUCUCUGGGACGGUACUGACGCUGAGACGCGAAAGCGUGGGGAGCGAACAGG